rnacentral:rRNA from 1 species
UGCCCGAAUCCUGACACAGGGAGGUAGUGACAAGAAAUAACGAUACAGGGCUACAUCUAGUCUUGUAAUUGGAAUGAGUACAAUUUACAUCUCUUAACGAUGAUCAAUUGGAGGGCAAGUCUGGUGCCAGCAGCCGCGGUAAUUCCAGCUCCAAUAGCGUAUAUUAAAGUUGUUGCAGUUAGAACGCUCGUAGUCGGAUUUCGGGGCGUUCCGACCGGUCUGCCGAUGGGUAUGCACUGGCCGGAGUGUCCUUUUUGCCGGAGACCGUGCCUACUCUUAACUGAGCGGGGGCGGGAGACGGCACUUUUACUUUGAAAAAAUCAGAGUGUUUCAAGCAGGCAGCUCGCUCUUGCAUGGAUUAGCAUGGGAUAAUGAAAUAGGACUUUGGUGCUAUUUUGUUGGUUUCGAACACCGAAGUAAUGAUGAGAAGGGACAGUCAGGGGCACUCGUAUUCCGCAGAGAGAGGUGAAAUUCUCAGACCCGCGGAAGACGAACCACUGCGAAAGCAUUUGCCAGGGAUGUUUUCACUGAUCAAGAACGAAAGUUAGGGGAUCGAAGAUGAUCAGAUACCGUCGUAGUCUUAACCAUAAACCAUGCCGACUAGGGAUUGGAGGAUGUUCACUGAUUGACUCCUUCAGCACCUUACGGGAAACUAAAGUCUUUGGGUUCCGGGGGGAGUAUGGUCGCAAGGCUGAAACUUAAAGGAAUUG